rnacentral:misc_RNA from 1 species
GAUGAAGAACGUAGCGAAAUGCAAUAAGUAAUGUGAAUUGCAGAAUUCAGUGAAUCAUCGAAUCUUUGAACGCACAUUGCGCCCGCCAGUAUUCUGGCGGGCAUGCCUGUUCGAGCGUCAUUUCAACCAUCAAGCCCCAGGCUUGUGUUGGGGACCUGCGGCUGCCGCAGGCCCUGAAAACCAGUGGCGGGCUCGCUGUCACACCGGGCGUAGUAGAUUUUAUCUCGCUCUGGGCGUGCUGCGGGUUCCGGCCGUUAAAAAACCCUUUUAACCCAAGGUUGACCUCGGAUCAGGUAGGAAUACCCGCUGAACUUAAGCAUAUCAAUAAGCGGAGGA